rfam:Treponema sp. OMZ 838, complete genome.
UUCUCUCCCCCGGACAGCGAUUGAAGCAGAAAUCCUUUUUGCCGCGCGUAUAAUGCAAGUGCGGUUUUUGAAGCGCUUAAGCGGAAAAACACCGCUUAAACAAAACAGCAGCGGCGAAAAGAUUGGAGCGGAAAGCGCGGUGCUGC